UUUGUGAUAUCAAACACCUGCAGGAUCAAAAUAAUAGUGAAAUCAGUUAUAAACUUGCACAAGCUACAAUCAGCAGCAGCAAAACGAAGUACAUGUACUUGAGUUAUUUGCUAGACACUUUGUACCCAAUCUUACAACAAUCAGCAUCAGAUUAAACAACGGUCACUGACACCAUGCAAGUAAACAAAAAGGCAUAAGAGCAUACUGAAUUGGGCGCCAUGUUGUGCGGCCGAUGCUAGAUGUGGAGACGGAUGGGGAUUCGAGUGCAAUUGGGCGGAGGCGCCAAAACCGCGUGGGAAUAUAAUUGAUCGUGCCUCAGUAAAUUGAAUGGGAAUUCUCCAUAUAUCUGGGAUUUUUGCUUUUUUGGUCAUGCUCGCCCACCUGCCUGGUAAAUGAAAAUGAGACUGUGCCAUGCCUCCUCCAGUGUUUCCCUCUCCCAACUUGCUAGUUUGAGAAGGUAUUG
rnacentral:lncRNA from 1 species